GUGAUAUUGCUUGGAUGCAUUCUUUUCCACCUUUUCUGCUAUCUUAUUCCUGGUGUUGUCUUGCUAGCCCAUGAGGAAGGACUUGCUGUGCUACUCCUAGCCCUUAUGCUAUGUCAUUUUUAUUUGUCUCUUCCAUGAGGCUGAGGAAUUCAACUUCCUGUAUGAGAAACAAGCACCAGGGCAGUGAGCCUGAUGUCCUCCUCCUCUCUUGGUGAGCACGGUGCCUCCCUGGCUCCACUCUUUGCACCGCCAGAACCCACUGCUGGAGUCUCCUCAGCCAACAGCAGGGAGGAAACCGAAGAGUCAUUGGGAGGGGCUGUAAAUUAAAUCCAGGCAGUAAUCGCAGGAGCAGGAAUCGGAAAAGCACAAAUAAAUACAGCAUAUAAAUAGGAGAUCGCGCUUCCUGCUAGGAGCUUAUCAUUUCUGCCAGCGCAGCUCCAGCAGAGCACUCCCCCUCGCUGGCAGUCCUGCUGGGCAAUCUCCAUUCUCUGUUCCCUGGGCAGUGCCAUUCCCUCCUCACUGCUAAGCUGCUCUGGGUAUUUGUACAAGUAACUCAAUAAAGGAUUACCUCCCAGAACGUCUGUAUUGUAGCAGGCCCUGUGCAGCUCUCAUUCAGCUGUGAGAUCUGUAGGAUAGGCAACAGCGUCCACAGUGCUUUUUAUACAGAGCUGAGUACAUCGUCAAUACUGCACAAAUAAUAAAUGCAUGCAACUCAAAGGAAUGCUCAGAUCUUCUUCAAGGAGGGAUAUGUGUAUUUAACAGCCCAUUCUCGGCACUUGAAGGAGUUCAUGCAUCUCUGCUCAGCAGUCUUUCAUUGAUUACAGUACAUCCCUUUUUCUGGCUCAUGACCGAUUUCUGAUCUGCACUCAUGUUUAAGGAAGGACUUAACACAGGGCUGCAUGGCAGGAGUUCUUACUGUAAAUGGGACUACCUGCACAAUAAUUAUGGCAGCAAAAAUAGAACAGGAGCAAUAAUCAUUAUGCUGUUUGUACUGCAUACAUAACACAGCUUUUAUAUACAGAGAUACAUACAUCUUUAUUGCCAGCAUAGAUCUCUCUGCCUUUGUUGUCUUUACACAGUUACUUGUUUACUGGUCAGAACAUGCCUGUAUGGUCUGGAUUCUCCCCAUGUUGAAAAAUGUAGAAGUAAUGGAUUUAGUUGCUAUUUCCCAUUAAACAAAU
rnacentral:lncRNA from 1 species